rnacentral:rRNA from 1 species
AGGACGAACGCUGGCGGCGUGCUUCACACAUGCAAGUCGAACGAGGUCCAACUAGUGGCAACACUAGGGAAGACCUAGUGGCGAACGGGUGCGUAACACGUGAGGAACCUACCCCGGACUCUGGAAUAACAGCGGGAAACCGCUGCUAAUACCGGAUAUCGUCGCACGGUCGCAUGGCCGAGUGACGAAAGGUUUACCGGUUCGGGACGGCCUCGCGGCCUAUCAGCUUGUUGGCGGGGUAAUGGCCCACCAAGGCAUCGACGGGUAGCUGGUCUGAGAGGAUGAUCAGCCACACUGGGACUGAGACACGGCCCAGACUCCUACGGGAGGCAGCAGUGGGGAAUCUUGCGCAAUGGGCGAAAGCCUGACGCAGCAACGCCGCGUGGGGGAUGAAGGCUCUCGGGUUGUAAACCCCUUUCAGCAGGAACGAAAUGACGGUACCUGCAGAAGAAGGCCCGGCCAACUACGUGCCAGCAGCCGC